rnacentral:rRNA from 1 species
GGAAAUACGGAUAGAGAUCAGGAUUGGUCUUUGGAAGGUGGAUUUGUAAGUAAUUAUUUUUAUAGAAUUAAUAAGUGAAGGGUGGAAUAACAUGUGUACAUAUUGCCCGUCGCUCUCGUUAUUUUUGAGAUAAGUCGUAACAUAGUUGAUGAACUGGAAAGUGUAUCUUUUUGA